UACGAGGGGGGCAAGCGUUGUUCGGAAUUAUUGGGCGUAAAGGGCUCGUAGGCGGUCUACUAAGUCUUAUGUGAAAUCUCUGGGCUCAACCCAGAGUCUGCAUGGGAAACUGUCGGGCUUGAGUAUGGGAGAGGUGAGUGGAAUUUCCGGUGUAGCGGUGAAAUGCGUAGAUAUCGGAAGGAACACCUGUGGCGAAAGCGGCUCACUGGACCAUAACUGACGCUGAGGCGCGAAAGCUAGGGGAGCAAACAGG
rnacentral:rRNA from 1 species